rnacentral:rRNA from 1 species
AGCGAACGCUGGCGGCAGGCUUAACACAUGCAAGUCGAACGGUCCUUCGGGAUAGUGGCGGACGGGUGAGUAACACGUGGGAACGUACCCUUAGGUUCGGAACAACACAGGGAAACUUGUGCUAAUACCGGAUAAGCCCUUCGGGGGAAAGAUUUAUCGCCUUUGGAGCGGCCCGCGUCUGAUUAGCUGGUUGGUGAGGUAAUGGCUCACCAAGGCUACGAUCAGUAGCUGGUCUGAGAGGAUGGCCAGCCACACUGGGACUGAGACACGGCCCAGACUCCUACGGGAGGCAGCAGUGGUGAAUCUUGCGCAAUGGGCGAAAGCCUGACGCAGCCAUGCCGCGUGGAUUAUGAAGGUCUUAGGAUUGUAAAAUCCUUUCACCGGGGACGAUAAUGACGGUACCCGGAGAAGAAGCCCCGGCUAACUUCGUGCCAGCCGCCGCAGUAA